ACGGGUGAGUAAUACAUCGGAACGUGCCCAAGAGUGGGGGAUAACGGAGCGAAAGCUUUGCUAAUACCGCAUACGAUCUACGGAUGAAAGCAGGGGACCGCAAGGCCUUGCGCUCAUGGAGCGGCCGAUGGCAGAUUUGGUAGUUGGUGGGAUAAAAGCUUACCAAGCCGACGAUCUGUAGCUGGUCUGAGAGGACGACCAGCCACACUGGGACUGAGACACGGCCCAGACUCCUACGGGAGGCAGCAGUGGGGAAUUUUGGACAAUGGGCGCAAGCCUGAUCCAGCCAUGCCGCGUGCAGGAUGAAGGCCUUCGGGUUGUAAACUGCUUUUGUACGGAACGAAAAGCCUCUUUCUAAUAAAGAGGGGUCAUGACGGUACCGUAAGAAUAAGCACCGGCUAACUACGUGCCAGCAGCCGCGGUAAUACGUAGGGUGCGAGCGUUAAUCGGAAUUACUGGGCGUAAAGCGUGCGCAGGCGGUAAUGUAAGACAGAUGUGAAAUCCCCGGGCUCAACCUGGGAACUGCAUUUGUGACUGCAUUGCUGGAGUGCGGCAGAGGGGGAUGGAAUUCCGCGUGUAGCAGUG
rnacentral:rRNA from 1 species